AGAGACACUGGAGGGAGCCAAUCUCCGAGCGUGGAAUCCCAAAUCCUCCCUCGCUGGGGACUGUUUUGACUGAACGGGGGCUCGCUUCGCACAGAGGACCCCGGCCGAGAAGAGCGCGGGUGGGUUCAAGAAGAAAUGGAAGCUCCCUUUCGCUCAACUCCACUGUUGUCCCCCCCAAAACUGGGCUCUUGCUUGGUGUCGAAGCCGAUAAGUCACCGGACGCAAGAGCAGAAUAAAAGAACAAACAGUUUUAUCUGAGCCAGCUCCACGACCCCCCUCUCCUUCCUCAGGGAGAGAGAGGGAGGGGAGGAGCAAAGCUUGUAAUUUCCAAGGCAAAGAAAUGAAGACAAGAGAAAAUGCUUUAUCAGAAUUCAUAUUCCUCACUCUCAUGUCCAUUCCAUCCACAUCUGGGUCCUAUCGCCACAUCUGGCCCUUCCUCUGAUCCCCCAGGGCCUCACCUGGACAUACAUGCCAUCAUCUGAACCUUCACCACCAUUCCCACCUUCUAGGAGUUCAAUCAAGAACUUUGGAGAACUUCCUUCGCUGUUGGCUCACGUCUUCCGAUGAACAACUUCUCGGUCUUUUCAAACUUAUCCUCUUCAGCCAAGUUUGAACUUUAAUGACUCUUUAAAGAGGGGAAUUCCAAUGACAGCUCCCAUCUUUGAUAACUCUUAGCCUCUCUUUGUCUUAAAACAGCUUACUAAGUCCAGAAAACGUUCUCCAUGGAAUGGAAAAGAAUAAUUACUGGAAGACAACUUAUUAUAUAUUUAUCAUAUGGCGCAUCCACAUCACAUUCCCACAAGAAAAAAACACAAGAGAUAAAAAUACGAAAUAUAAAAUACUAUAAACGUACACCUGGAUUACAGAUAUAAUAUUUUUUUGCUUCAUUUGUCACAGCCAGGAAAUCGGCAAAGUCUCUAUUACAGCUUCUAUUACUCUGGCACUAUAUGUUGGAUAUGUGACUUAUGAAUAAAUAACAUGGAUGGCGUACAUUAGAGAUAAAUAAAGGGGAAUAUUUGUAACUCGGGGUUGAGAUGCUCUGGGUGCUCUCUGGGCGUGCUGCUUUUCUUGCAGACGUUUCGUUAUCCAAACCUGGUAACGUCAUCAGUGCAGUGGUAAGGAGUGCAGUUUUGGCUGUCGGUUUAUAUUUUUGUGACUGGCCCCGUCAGUGUUGGUUGGGGGUGGUUUUAGAGAAUCUUA